CGUGUAGGCGGUCUGCUAAGUCUGAUGUGAAAGCCCGGGGCUCACCCCCGGAAGGGCAUUGGAAACUGGCGGACUCGAGUCCCGGAGAGGAGAGUGGAAUUCCUGGUGUAGCGGUGAAAUGCGUAGAUAUCAGGAGGAACACCGGUGGCGAAGGCGGCUCUCUGGACGGUGACUGACGCUGAGACGCGAAAGCGUGGGGAAGCAAACA
rnacentral:rRNA from 1 species